UACGGAGGGUGCAAGCGUUGUUCGGAAUCACUGGGCGUAAAGCGCGUGUAGGCGGUCCGGUAAGUCCGCUGUGAAAGUCGAGGGCUCAACCCUCGAAUGCCGGUGGAUACUGUCGGGCUUGAGUACGGGAGAGGCGAGUGGAAUUCCUGGUGUAGCGGUGAAAUGCGCAGAUAUCAGGAGGAACACCGAUUGCGAAGGCAGCUCGCUGGAACGUUACUGACGCUGAGACGCGAAAGCGUGGGGAGCAAACAGG
rnacentral:rRNA from 1 species